CAUGAAUUCAUGCAUGGGUGGGGUUCCCAGGGGGGUGGGGUUCGGCCAGGACAUGACUGACCCUCCUGGUGGGUGGUGGGAUGCCCUUGCGGGCCCUGGAUCCAGAGCCAUCCCACUGACAUUGGUGCUGGUUGUUGGGAGCUACCUAGCAGCUGGCCGCUUUUAUAUUGUUUCUGCAUUGUGGAGCGGAGCGUCUAUGGAGGGGAAGUGGCCACGAUGCCUGAGGCAGACUUCUAGGAAGCCAGCAGUGUUGUCGGGAUCAUGCCAGCAGUGCUGGUCCAUCGGUGCCUGGCCUGUUCUCCAGAGAUUGGACCUGUAGGACUACUGAGAGAGUUUGACCAUCUGAUCGAUGCGCUUCUCUGUCUCUGGAUCUGUUUUUGUUCAUCACAACCUUCCCCAAAUCUGGCAGUCCUGCUGUGUCUCAGCUGGGUGAGUAGUGCCACUCCUGUCCAGGGGAACUGAGAACCCAAUUGCUUUUAUGCUCAUGACAUUGACCUCUGUUUUCAGUCACCUCAAUAAAUUAAGACCCAGCACAGAACAAGCGGCACCAGGUUUGAAGUCACAGCUGAGACGGAAGUACCUACUCAUCAUAUUUUCCAAAGGAAGAAAAAUCUUUAUGAACCAAUCUGCACCACUAUGGCUUAAGAAAAAAUAAUAAGUGAUCAUGGAAAACAAUGAUCAAUUAUGAGUGAGCAACCACUUGCCUUCUUCCUGGAUGAAUCACAACUAAACCAAUUUAUUGAUUUACAAUCACAAAAUAAAAAUAUAUCUUAUUGAAAAUAUUUUUGCAGGAACUUUUAUCAGCCUUUUGCCUCCAUAAUUUUACUGAAUCUGAUUGCC